rnacentral:tRNA from 1 species
GCGAGAGUGGUAUAGUGGCCUAGCAUACGGCCUUGCCAAGGCUGUGACCCGGGUUCAAAUCCCGGCUCUCGCA